GAUGAACGCUGGCGGCGUGCCUAAUACAUGCAAGUCGAGCGAACUGAUUAGAAGCUUGCUUCUAUGACGUUAGCGGCGGACGGGUGAGUAACACGUGGGUAACCUGCCUGUAAGACUGGGAUAACUUCGGGAAACCGAAGCUAAUACCGGAUAGGAUCUUCUCCUUCAUGGGAGAUGAUUGAAAGAUGGUUUCGGCUAUCACUUACAGAUGGGCCCGCGGUGCAUUAGCUAGUUGGUGAGGUAACGGCUCACCACUGAAACGAUGCAUAGCCGUCCUGAGAGCGUGAACGGCCACGAUGGGACCGUGACACGGCGCCGACUCCUACGGGAGGCAGCAGUAGGGAAUCUUCCGAAAUGGACGAAAGUCUGACGGGGCAACGCCGCGUGCGUGAUGAAGGCUUUCGGGUCGUAAAACUCUGUUGUUAGGGAAGAACAAGUACAAGAGUAACUGCUUGUACCUUGACGGUACCUAACCAGAAAGCCACGGCUAACUACGUGCCAGCCGCCGCCGUAACAC
rnacentral:rRNA from 1 species